rnacentral:misc_RNA from 1 species
UCUCCGUCCACUCCGAUCAUGGAGAAGCUGAGGAGAGUGGUGAACGAGAUUGCCUAUACGCAAGACCACGCCAAGCUCUCUACACUGAACCGCUCGUUACUUCCUGUACUCAAAGUCGUGUCCUCUCUCUACAGGGUCGCACUUUAUCUGCGCCUGUAUCUCUAUCAUUUUGGCCUCUUGUCUAAGCACCGGUUGCCAGUGCCAGUGAUAAGUGUUGGCAAUUUAACGUGGGGAGGCAAUGGGAAGACGCCAAUGGUUGAGUUUAUUGCCGAAUGGUUAGCCGAUUCUGAAAUUUCACCUCUUAUUCUUACCAGGGUAGUUACUUUUUCUCACAAAGUUGUUCUUUUUCUUUGAUACUUUAAUGUUCAAUACAAAUGGAUGACUGGUAUGGAAAUGGCAUCUAUUUAUUGUGUACAAAUUGAUGGAGCGAGAAACGGCAAGUCCAUGUUCUUGAUUUUGUCUCAUCCACAAGUUAAAAUGGGUGAGAGGAGAGCUAUUAUUAUACUCAGUAGUCAAUAGUGAAUAGUUGCAAUUGCCGAUUGUUUGUGCUAAGGGAUGAAUUAGGAUAUUAACACUGGUUAUCUGGCAGGGUUAUGCUGGAGGAGAUGAAGCUAGGAUGCUUACAAGGCAUCUUCUUGGGACACCAGCAAAGAUUGGUAUGGGAGCAAAUCGAGCUGCCACUGCUGCUUGUUUUCUCAAACAGUAUGGAUACAUAGAUCCUAAAAGUUAUUUAUUUGAGGGAGUAAAUCAGAAAGUUCAAAGUGCACUUAACCUGGGAAAAAUUGGUGUCGUUGUUCUAGAUGAUGGAAUGCAGGUAUUGAAUAUGUAAUCCCUCCAUUCUUGUGAUGGAGACUUCAUUUUGUUGCUUGUAUGACAUACCAUCAAAUGGCUGGGCUACAUAUGGAUAGCU